rnacentral:misc_RNA from 1 species
UUCUUCUUUACCGAAUUUCUCCACAAUACAACAAAGAUAGUACAAAACAGCGACAACCCAAUUGAGAUUCAGAUGGGUUAAAGGGAAGGGGAGUCAAAGAUGGGUUGAAGAGGCGAUGAGGAAGCAGCUGGUGAUCCCACAGUUUGGCUGCUUUGGAAGGCAUGAUUAGAUGGUUUCAUGAACAUGUUUUCCUUUGAUCUGUAAGCGGAAAUCAAGGAUCUGAACUAGUAUUUGGGAAGUUGAUCUCAUUCUACAGUCUUUAGUAUUUGGUGCGGAACUGAGCGGUAUUACCAACAAGACAACAACUUUCUGCCAAACAAUUGGGGCAAGCAGGAUCACGACUCUUCGGGGUCAAAACAAAUAGUAAUUAUUUGCUUUCCCGCUCAGAGCUAUGGCAACAUUGACACGCCCCGAGUCCAAGAAACUAUAUUCAUGGUGGUGGGACGGACAUACAGCCCCGAAAAAUUCCAAAUGGCUCAAG